rnacentral:rRNA from 1 species
AUUGAACGCUGGCGGCAGGCCUGACACAUGCAAGUCGAGCGGAUGAAAGGAGCUUGCUCCUGGAUUCAGCGGCGGACGGGUGAGUAAUGCCUAGGAAUCUGCCUGGUAGUGGGGGACAACGUUUCGAAAGGAACGCUAAUACCGCAUACGUCCUACGGGAGAACGCAGGGGACCUUCGGGCCUUGCGCUAUCAGAUGAGCCUAGGUCGGAUUAGCUAGUUGGUGCGGUAAUGGCUCACCAAGGCGACGGUCCGUAACUGGUCUGAGAGGAUGAUCAGUCACACUGGAACUGAGACACGGUCCAGACUCCUACGGGAGGCAGCAGUGGGGAAUAUUGGACAAUGGGCGAAAGCCUGAUCCAGCCAUGCCGCGUGUGUGAAGAAGGUCUUCGGAUUGUAAAGCACUUUAAGUUGGGAGGAAGGGUUGUAGAUUAAUACUCUGCAAUUUUGACGUUACCGACAGAAUAAGCACCGGCUAACUCUGUGCCAGCCGCCGCCGUAAGAC